CCUACGGGAGGCAGCAGUGGGGAAUAUUGCGCAAUGGAGGAAACUCUGACGCAGCAACGCCGCGUGAAGGAAGAAGGUCUUCGAAUUGUAAACUUCUUUGAUUGGGGACGAACAAAUGACGGUACCCAAAAAACAAGCCACGGCUAAUUACGUGCCAGCAGCCGCGGUAAUACGUAGGUGGCGAGCGUUGUCCGGAAUUACUGGGUGUAAAGGGCGUGCAGGCGGGAGCAUAAGUCAGAUGUGAAAUUCCUAGGCUUAACUUGGGCGCUGCAUCUGAAACUAUGUUUCUUGAGUGCUGGAGAGGAAAGCGGAAUUCCCAGUGUAGCGGUGAAAUGCGUAGAUAUUGGGAGGAACACCAGUGGCGAAGGCGGCUUUCUGGACAGCAACUGACGCUGAGGCGCGAAAGCGUGGGGAGCAAACAGGAUUAGAUACCCUGGUAGUCCACGCCGUAAACGAUGGAUACUAGGUGUAGGAGGUAUCGACUCCUUCUGUGCCGGAGUUAACACAAUAAGUUCCCACCUGGGAGAAC
rnacentral:rRNA from 1 species